UACGUAGGGUGCGAGCGUUGUCCGGAAUUAUUGGGCGUAAAGAGCUCGUAGGCGGUGUGUCACGUCGGCCGUGAAAACCUGCAGCUUAACUGUGGGCGUGCGGUCGAUACGGGCAUCACUGGAGUUCGGCAGGGGAGACUGGAAUUCCUGGUGUAGCGGUGAAAUGCGCAGAUACCAGGAGGAACACCGGUGGCGAAGGCGGGUCUCUGGGGCCGAUACUGACGCUGAGGAGCGAAAGCGUGGGGAGCAAACAGG
rnacentral:rRNA from 1 species